rnacentral:rRNA from 1 species
UCCUGGCGUCAGGAUGAACGGCUGGCUACAGGCUUAACACAUGCAAGUCGAGGGGCAGCAUUGAGAUAGCUUGCUAUUCAGAUGGCGACCGGCGCACGGGUGAGUAACGCGUAUCCAACCUUCCCCUAGUAGAGGAUAGCCCGGCGAAAGUCGGAUUAAUACUCUAUGUUGUAUUUUGAGGACAUCUGACGAAUACCAAAGAUUCAUCGCUAAGGGAUGGGGAUGCGUCUGAUUAGCUUGUUGGCGGGGUAACGGCCCACCAAGGCGACGAUCAGUAGGGGUUCUGAGAGGAAGGUCCCCCACAUUGGUACUGAGACACGGACCAAACUCCUACGGGAGGCAGCAGUGAGGAAUAUUGGUCAAUGGGCGAGAGCCUGAACCAGCCAAGUAGCGUGCAAGGAAGACUGCCCUAUGGGUUGUAAACUGCUUUUAUCAGGGAAUAAAGUUCGGCACGUGUGCUGUUUUGUAUGUACCUGAUGAAUAAGGACCGGCUAAUUCCGUGCCAGCAGCCGC